rnacentral:rRNA from 1 species
UUUAUGGAGAGUUUGAUCCUGGCUCAGGAUGAACGCUGGCGGCGUGCCUAAUACAUGCAAGUCGAGCGAACGGACGAGAAGCUUGCUUCUCUGAUGUUAGCGGCGGACGGGUGAGUAACACGUGGAUAACCUACCUAUAAGACUGGGAUAACUUCGGGAAACCGGAGCUAAUACCGGAUAAUAUUUUGAAUCGCAUGGUUCAAAAGUGAAAGACGGUCUUGCUGUCACUUAUAGAUGGAUCCGCGCUGCAUUAGCUAGUUGGUAAGGUAACGGCUUACCAAGGCAACGAUGCAUAGCCGACCUGAGAGGGUGAUCGGCCACACUGGAACUGAGACACGGUCCAGACUCCUACGGGAGGCAGCAGUAGGGAAUCUUCCGCAAUGGGCGAAAGCCUGACGGAGCAACGCCGCGUGAGUGAUGAAGGUCUUCGGAU